AAAUAAAUAAAAUAAAAUUUGAGACCUAAAUUUUAAUCUCCUCACAAAUAUUAAGUCGAGCGGUUUUCGGUGUUGUAAAAGUGCAGGCGUUUUUCUGGUGUUGAUUGGCACGGCUUGUUAUAGUGGUCAAUUGCUUCGGGAAGGUGCAGUCACUUUAUUAGCAUGAGAUGCUGCGGAGUAAAGAUGGGGUUGGGCCCAAUAAUUGUUAGGUGCGGGACCCAAUGACGGCUUUGCUUACGCGUUUGAAUGGCGGGUCUGACUUAACUAAGGAAUGGGGCCAAUAACUGUUAGGUGAGGCCUAUAGGACCUAGAGAUCGAUCAUUGCAAUUUGUUUGAGAAGCAUUGGACAAGAAUUGUCCACUUAUCGGUUUGCAUAUCACCAAUAACUGUUAAGUAAGGUGGUACGUUAUACUAGUGGGACUGCAGUAUCUAUUUGAAACCUUUUAUCGCGUUGGGUUUUCGUUUCUCUACCCGAGGAGUGUAAGAGACUCGAGAAAAUAGUGGGAGGCUAAAAUUUAUUUUUAAAAUUCCUAAAACAAAAUUUUCAAAACAAAUAUAAAUAUCUAAUUUGAAUCUUUACUCUCUGCAAAGCAAAUAUCUGCUUCCAAUCGUUUCUCUCAUAUUCUCGACACAAAACCAUUAACUGGAACUAAUUAUAAAGAUUGACUAAGGAACUU
rnacentral:lncRNA from 1 species